AGUGAACGCUGGCGGUAGGCCUAACACAUGCAAGUCGAACGGCAGCACAGUAAGAGCUUGCUCUUACGGGUGGCGAGUGGCGGACGGGUGAGGAAUACAUCGGAAUCUACUUUUUCGUGGGGGAUAACGUAGGGAAACUUACGCUAAUACCGCAUACGACCUACGGGUGAAAGCAGGGGAUCUUCGGACCUUGCGCGAUUGAAUGAGCCGAUGUCGGAUUAGUUAGUUGGCGGGGUAAAGGCCCACCAAGGCGACGAUCCGUAGCUGGUCUGAGAGGAUGAUCAGCCACACUGGAACUGAGACACGGUCCAGACUCCUACGGGAGGCAGCAGUGGGGAAUAUUUGACAAUGGGCGCAAGCCUGAUCCAGCCAUACCGCGUGGGUGAAGAAGGCCUUCGGGUUGUAAAGCCCUUUUGUUGGGAAAGAAAAGCAGCAGGUUAAUACCCCGCUGUUCUGACGGUACCCAAAGAAUAAGCACCGGCUAACUUCGUG
rnacentral:rRNA from 1 species